GGCGAUCUGUAUUAGAAGAGCUGCUAAAAUUUUCCCAGAGAAAAUUACCACAGUACACAUGAGUAAUGUCAGCUUCGUGAAUUAUUUAUGGAUUAUCCUCUAACAGAAGUAGGCCCAAGAACAGAGUGGGAUAAUAGGGGCUCUGCUACUAAAGACUGUAUGAAAUUGGAAAAGGGGAGCGUUGGGGUCCUUUCCAACAAGGUAACCUCUAGAAAGCCUUUUUAAAAACAUCUCAUCCUCUGGUCUUCAUGAAGAAAGAACAACCACAACAACAAAAAAGCACAAAUUUGUUAUUUCUAGGAAAACUCCUAACCACUGCACUUGAAACAGGAGUGACUGCCUACAAAAUACUGGGACAAAAGAGGUUGGAUGUGUUAUGUAAUGUGACUGGGGGGAAAAAUCUUUGGUCUCAGAGACAUAGGGACUGGAAUUUCUAUUAGGACAGAAUAUAAGUUUUUUAUUCAGUUACUGGCCAAUAAACCAUUCCUUGGUUAAUGCAUUAUAUAGAAGCUUGGGUGUGGAGAAGGACAUAAUACACAAGUCUUUGCACCAAGGUAUACUGCCACCUAAACUUUGUUGAAAAUACCUGAGUGAA